GUACGUCCAGAUGCAAUCGGAGCCGGAGGCUUCUACCUUGUCGUCCUUGUACUCCUUUCAUCAAGAUACUGCAACUCGAAUUUUCGAUGAGUUGCCUCAGGCAACGAUUAUACAGGUGUCUCGAUCCGAUGCUGGUGACAUCAGCCCCAUGCUUCUAACUUAUACCAUUGAAGUCCAAUAUAAGCAGUUCAAGUGGCAAUUGGUGAAGAAAGCUUCGCAUGUAAUUUAUUUACAUUUCGCAUUAAAGAAGCGUGCAUUCAUUGAGGAGAUUCAUGAGAAGCAAGAGCAGGUCAAAGAAUGGCUUCAAAACUUGGGGAUAGGAGAUCAUACAACUGUAAUGCAA
rnacentral:misc_RNA from 1 species